GAUGAACGCUGGCUACAGGCUUAACACAUGCAAGUCGAGGGGAAACGACGGGGAAGCUUGCUUCCCCGGGCGUCGACCGGCGCACGGGUGAGUAACGCGUAUCCAACCUGCCUCUGACUGAGGUAUAACCCGUCGAAAGUCGGCCUAAUACCUCAUGGCAUCGUCUGCGGGCAUCCAACGACGAUUAAAGAUUUCAUCGGUCAGGGAUGGGGAUGCGUCUGAUUGGCUUGUUGGCGGGUUAACGGCCCACCAAGGCUUCGAUCAGUAGGGGUUUUGAGAGGAAGGGGCCCCACAGUGGAACUGGGAAACGGUCCAAACUCCUACGGGAGGCAGCAGUGAGGAAUAUUGGUCAAUGGGCGGGAGCCUGAACCAGCCAAGUAGCGUGCAGGAUGACGGCCCUAUGGGUUGUAAACUGCUUUUAUGCGGGGAUAAAGUGAGGGACGUGUCCUUCAUUGCAGGUACCGCAUGAAUAAGGACCGGCUAAUUCCGUG
rnacentral:rRNA from 1 species